GACGAACCACCCAAACGUUAUUCGGAAUUACUGGGCUUAAAGAGUGCGUAGGCGGCCUUGUAAGUAGGGUGUGAAAUCCCACAGCUCAACUGUGGAACUGCGCUCUAAACUACAUGGCUAGAGGGAUAUAGAGGUGAGCGGAACUGAUGGUGGAGCGGUGAAAUGCGUUGAUAUCAUCAGGAACACCGGAGGCGAAGGCGGCUCACUGGGUAUCUUCUGACGCUGAGGUACGAAAGCUAGGGGAGCGAACAGG
rnacentral:rRNA from 1 species